rnacentral:rRNA from 1 species
UACGUAGGGGGCAAGCGUUAUCCGGAUUUACUGGGUGUAAAGGGGGCGCAGACGGCGAUGCAAGCCAGGAGUGAAAGCCCGGGGCCCAACCCCGGGACUGCUCUUGGAACUGCGUGGCUGGAGUGCAGGAGGGGCAGGCGGAAUUCCUGGUGUAGCGGUGAAAUGCGUAGAUAUCAGGAGGAACACCGGUGGCGAAGGCGGCCUGCUGGACUGCAACUGACGUUGAGGCCCGGAAGCGUGGGGAGCAAACAGG